GACGACGCUGGCGGCGUGGAUUAGGCAUGCAAGUCGAACGGUAUCAUCCUUUCGGGGGUGAGAGAGUGGCGAACUGGUGAGUAACACGUAGGUUAUCUACCCUCAAGACGGGGACAACCCAGGGAAACUUGGGCUAAUACCGGAUGUGAGCAACUUUAGUUGUUUGAAAGGUGGCGUAAGCUGUCGCUUGGGGAUGAGCCUGCGUCCUAUUAGUUAGUUGGUGAGGUAACGGCUCACCUAGGCAAUGAUAGGUAGGCGGCCUUAACGGGUGGUCGCCCACACUGGGAUUGAGAUACGGCCCAGACUCCUACGGGAGGCAGCAGUCGAGAAUAGUCUACAAUGGUCGGAAGACUGAUAGUGCGACGCCGCGUGAACGAUGAAUCCCUUCGGGGUGUAAAGUUCUUUUAUAUGUGAGCAGUGCUUCUUAUAUUAACAGUAUGGGGAGAGAGAUAUUAGCAUAUGAAUAAGCAACGGCUAACUCCGUG
rnacentral:rRNA from 1 species